UUGGGGAUUUACCUUCAAGCUUCAUGCAUUAUUUCCUUCUUUUUCUUAAUUAUCAUAUCGGUUUUAUGGUUUUUCACUGAGCCAAUCCUUGUUUUAUGGUCAUAUUUGCUUACGGUUUUCUGCAAAAUGUAGGGCCCAAAUUUUGCCCGGGCCCAAAAGCACAAACAAAAAAUAAACCAAAUAAUAAAAACCCAAAUAUAAAAUUAUAACAGUCCAGUAUUACAAGCCCACUAAACGUCAGUCCAAAAACACCUAACCCUAGUCCGAUAGCCCAAAACAAUUUCAACACAAAAAAUCAGCAGCAAACCCUAAAUCCCCUGGCGCCGCAAGCUCCCACGCGCACCUCCGCACGUACGCCGCCCUCCACGUCACCGUACGGCCUCCGUACACCUGCAGAAAAUCAACACGCAAAGAGCGCAACAAACGAGCAAAAGACAAGCAGAAACAGCACAACAAAAGGAGAAAAAAAAUUGUAAUAGCGAAGAAAAAACAGAAAGAGGGGCGAUUUUUGUAUUUUUCUUUUGGCUAUAUAAAGCCAUAACGAAAUCUGUAAAAUGAUGAAAAAAAAGAGAAAUAAAAAGAUCGAUAUUAAGGUGAUUCUUUUUCUUUGCGUUUUUCUGUUCUUUCAUUUUUUUAUUUUUUGUAUACAUUCAGAUAUAAAAAAAGAAAAGAGUUAAAGGUAUAAUGAUACCUUCGCGGGCCUUUGGAGCCAUCCUCUACUCUGUCUGAAUCGGAAUGAGAGAGAGGAGUGUUCUGGCUUUCAAGGUGGCGAUGAGGGAAAAGGCUCACCUGUGUGUCGAAACCAUCGAGUCAUCGAACCCUAGUCCGCUUCUUGGUAGUCGGAGAUCGGAAGGGACGAGGGAUUGCGGCGCGUUUCUAUGUAAAUGAGGGCUAGGGUUUCUUUUAGUUCGUUUUUUUAGGUUUCAUUUAUUUAUUUUUUUUAGUUCUGUAAAACUUAAAACGUUGCCGUUUAAGCCACUUAGUUUCAGCAACCCGCGCGGUGACCCGACCCGGGGAGGAUCCGCGCGUUCUGACUUUUUGGAUUAUUUGCGCUUAGAGUCCUUUCAUGUUUUGCUUAGUUUCAAUCGGAUUUCUUUCCAUUUUCCUUAAUUUGUACCGCCUAUUUAAUUCUGUAUUCAUUUAGAUCCAAGUUCAAACGGUGCCGUUUUUGUUAUUGUUUGGGAUUAUUUCGUUGUUUGUGUUUAAUUGCGGAUUUAGUCCUUUAAUUUUGAAACAGGUUUUAAUUAAAUACUGAUUUAUUUUUUUUUAAAAUUCAAUGUUUUUUUAAAUUAUGAUUAAUUCUAUUUUCAUGUAUUAUAAUAUCUAAUAUUCUUUAUAAUAUUUAUUUUUGAUAGUAUUUUAAAUUAUUAUUAUAUUAUUUUAAUGUAAUAAAGUUAUUAUUUUGGGUUGUAUUUUGUAUUUUAAAUUUAUUAUAUACUAAUAUUUUGAAACUACUGUAUGUUUAUUAAAAGUUUUAUUGUUAUUUUAAUUAUUAAUAUUAUUUUAACAUUGACUUAGUAUUUUUAAACUUAUUAUUAAUAUGAUUUCUAAAAUAUUAUACUUUAUUCUUACUAAUUAUUAUUAUCAAUAUGUUUUAAAUUCAUUGACAUCGAUUUUAAAUUCUUUACAUAUACUCAUUUUUUUAAAAUUUGAUACAUUAUUAUUUAUUUUAUCACACUUAAUAUAUUUCUAGAAUUUGAUAUAUUACUUUAUAUUUCUCAAUAAUGUAUUUUAGAAUAUAGUCCCAAAUUUUAUUUUCACCAUGAUAUCUUGUGAUUAUUAUACUUAUAUGUAUAGUUUAUAUGGAAUUAUUUUAAUACAGGUAUAUGUGUAUAAAAUGCAUCAUAACUUGUAAUUUACAAAAUGUUAUUUUUGUUUUCAUAUUUUUUAUUCAUUUCGAUUAUUUUAAGUGGUUUACUUAUGAUUAAAUUAUCUUUAUAUUAAUUAUUCUCAUUUCGUUUUUUGUAAGAUUGAUUAUUAGUUUAUUUGAUUAUCAAUGUUGAUGUAUUAUAUGUUUGGUUGCUCCAAAUUGUAAAUUUAGCCUGCUAUUCACCAUUUGAUUUGUAUAUUGAUAUUUUAUUAUAUUGUUUGUAAAAAUCGCAUUUCAUUAAAGCAUUAUAAUCGUUCUAUUUCAUAAUUUCUAAAAAGGCUUGGUAUUCAUAUUUCCCGAGAAAAUUGUGCCCUAACUUACUGGGCUUCAAUUUUUUUCGAUUCAUUUAGAUAAUCAAGUGUUCAUUUUAUUUAAACCAUAUGUUUUUAAGAAUAAAAUUCUUAAGAUUCCGAAAUGUUGGAUCCUAACUUACUGGAUACGACAUUUUGUUAUCUCGUUUUUAAAAUAAAGGCAAUACCCAAAAUUUGGAAUCCUCGAGAGAAUUGAGCCCUAACGUAUUGGGUUUUUAUUUUUCUCGUUGAAUCUAAAUAAUCAAGAUUUUUUGAAAACAUACAAAUUUCAAAUAAAAACCCAUUCUCGGGAAUUCGACACGUUGUGUCCUAACGCAUUGGAUAUGACAUGUUAUUUUCUCGAGAUGAGGAUUUUAAAAAUAAAAGGCAAUGUUCGAUAUUUAGGAAUUUUGUGAAAUCGAACCCUAACUUAUUGGGUUUUGAUUUUCUCAUUGGACCCAAAUAAUCGGAUAUCCUUCUCAAAACGCAUAGGUUUUAAAACUCAAAGGACAAGCUUAAUUUGGAGGAUUUGAAAUGUUGCACUCUAACUUACUGAGUGUAACAAUUUAUUUCUUUAAAAUAAAUGAGCCUUAUCUUCCAAUUAAUUCAAAAUAAAAAGAUCGUAUUUUAAAAUCUUUUUAAAAUUUCGACAUUAAGACAUUAAACAAUCAAUUCGGUACCAAUUUUGGACGUCACGAGGGUGCUAACCCUUCCUCGUGCGUAACCGACUCCCGAACCUAAUUUCUCAAAAUUCGCAGACCUAAAAUUAUUUUCAAGGUGAUCCGAUCACACCACAAUAAAAGAUCGGUGGCGACUCCAGUUUUCAUUUUAGAAGUCGAUCCCCGUUUUUCAAAUUUAAAAAUGGUUUCGACACAAAACAUAUUAAGGUUUAUUCAGACACAAAGCAUUGCUAUACCUGAUACGGCCACGCCCCAAUUCACAACUAGCUCGAGCAAGGAUCCUUUGGAGCUGCCCCGAUGUCCUAUUACCCGAUGGCGCGCCAAGCAAUUCAAAGGGGCACUAACGGCUUUGAUAGACAAAGUGUGGGACGAUACCCUAGUUGGACACCUCGAGGAGACUCGAACUAGCCCUAAGAGUCUUCCAUGCACCUUGUUGCAAGCUGAACUUAGCUCAAUUUUAGCUCAAUAAUUUUGAUUCAGCUCAAUAUCAUAUAGACAUUAAUUUGAUUACUGAAAUAAUUAUUUGAGUUAGUUAAUUAGUUAUACACAACUCAAUUAAUUUUCGUUGUUUAAUUGGUCUAAAAUUCGGACGAAUUUAAGUGUGCAUGUUAAUUGUGUUUUUCUUACAUGUUAUUAAGUCAUCUUAAUUCCUACAGCUUAUAAAUAUGUUUUUAUUGCAUGAUUUCAAUGUGUCUUGUCUUAACCGAAUUAAUUGGGUCUUGUUCUAUUUAUGUGAAUUUAACUUGUCCAGAUUAUGUUAUUAAUUAUGUUCAGCUGAAUAAAAAAUUAAUUUAAGUUCAUUUGUUCCUUUUGUAGGUUGGCUGAAUAUGCGAGUGCAUUUAAACAAGAUACAUGCAUGUUGGAUUCAAUGUAUUUGGCGAUACAUGCAUGGGCUGCAAUCAAAAUGGUGUGCUGAUUUUUGAAGUUUCCUAUGUGACUAUUCGGCCAAGGGAGCUGAUGUUUCCUUCUCCAAAGCUGCCCAUUUAUUUCUUUUACAUUGCUGGAUACAUCUUGGCUGUUCGGUUCAUAGUGUCCACACCUAAAGGACUCUUCAAGGCUGACUUUUCACACUUAGUUGGCUAUUCACGUUCUCAUUUAAUGCUGAUAUUUUUUCAGCCAAGAGUUGCAUUUUAAUGAGCUCAUUGGACGAACCUAGCUGUUGCCAUGCACCUUUCCAAGCAUUCUAAGUUCAUUUGCUUAGUUUAGAAGCUG
rnacentral:lncRNA from 1 species